rnacentral:lncRNA from 1 species
AAGGUGUGCACCACCAAUGCCGGGCGAGUUGGAUUCUUUCAAUGGGACCUGAAGCUCCUGUUAUCCACCUACCAUCCCCAAUCCUGAACCACACAGGCCUUCAGGACCAAGACAACAGAUUGCACCUGACAAACGUUCCGGUGAGAAAGACGUGACCACACAUUCCUGGUGUUUUCACAAGCUUCUUGCAAGAAAAGGGAGCAGCAGAAACAGCCAAAGGGUCCCCUCCCCUCUGAGGAACAGGACACAUGAGGUGCUGGUCUACAGACAGGACCAUGCCGAGUGCUUUACAAUGGGACCAGAACGACCAAACAGACAAGCCCAUGCAUCCGCCCGUGACUCACGGUCUCCUGAUCAACACGUGACGGUAAUGUCUGAACUGUCUCCGGAUAAUGGCCAUCCUCUCCACCUGCGCCCCCAUCUUCAUGCUUGGGACGGAGCCUUGUGCCCACACCAGGCAAGUGAUCCACCUCUGGGCCACACCAGCAGCUGAGUAACGAGGGUAAGAGUGUGCGCUGUGGAAGGGCGGAGUGGGGAGCUGAGAGCAGCCUGGAUCGCAGGUUUUUACAAGAGACAUCGAUGGGCCCACCCUAUGGUAGGUAUGGACUCCGGGUAACAGGAGAAAUGAAGACUCCAGUCAUAUAAACCAUUAAAUGCAAUACAGUCCACCUUUCCUAAAUGUACCAAACGGCUAUCAUGCCACCAUGUCCUGAGUCUAGGACGCCCCCCCCCAACCUCUUUCCCUCACGUGACUAUUGACAGGCACAGAUCUCUUUCUGGAAUUCCUCUCAGCGGAGGGGCACACCGCUCCCGACAGGAGGCAUUCACUAACUCUCAAGGCACCUGCCUUCUGGAACAGCCUCAGCUGGGGUGUCCAUCACUCCCGUUUCCUCAGAUCUCAGCAGGGCAUGGAUGGAUGGCAGGCGGCUGAUAGAGGGCUUCUGGAUUUAGGAGCCCAUCUGUGCUUUCUCAUCUUCGAAGACCGACCUCCUGCUGGCAGAGUAUAGAACACUUAGCCGCGCGGUGGUGGCGCACGCCUUUAAUCCCAGCACUCGGGAGGCAGAGGCAGGAGGAUCACUGUGAGUUCGAGUCCAGCCUGGUCUACAGAGCGAGUGCCAGGACAUGCUCCAAAGCUACAGAGAAACCCGUCUUGGAAAACCAAAAAUUAAAAAAAA